rnacentral:ncRNA from 1 species
UUGAUAGAGGCGCGGUGCUUAUCAGUAGCUUUUUGUGUUGAAGGCAUUUGCAAUUUGUGAAAGGAAACGCCGCCGAAGAAGAGAUGAUUUUGCCUUAAAGUCACUUUUCUGGGCUGUCGGGUAAUACCCGGCAGACUGUCGCGAUUAUUUGCGGAGGGCUAUCA